rnacentral:rRNA from 1 species
AACGAACGCUGGCGGCAGGCCUAACACAUGCAAGUCGAACGCGUCCUUCGGGACGAGUGGCAGACGGGUGAGUAACGCGUGGGAACGUACCCUUUGGUUCGGAACGACAGCGGGAAACUGCUGCUAAUACCGGAUAAGCCCUUCGGGGGAAAGAUUUAUCGCCAGAGGAUCGGCCCGCGUUAGAUUAGCUUGUUGGUAAGGUAAUGGCUCACCAAGGCUACGAUCUAUAGCUGGUCUGAGAGGAUGAUCAGCCACACUGGGACUGAGACACGGCCCAGACUCUUACGGGAGGCAGCAGUGGGGAAUCUUGGACAAUGGGCGAAAGCCUGAUCCAGCCAUGCCGCGUGAAUGAUAAAGGCCCUAGGGUUGUAAAAUUCUUUCGACGGGGAAGAUAAUGACGGUACCCGUAGAAGAAGCUCCGGCUAACUUCGUGCCAGCAGCCGCGGUAAAAC